rnacentral:lncRNA from 10 species
CUGUAUAUUAAGGGCUGAUAAAAUUAUAUGUUACAAAAAAAUUCACAAGAAGAGAGGAAAUACUGAGGAGAAAAUGGCAGAUUGUGUUUGCUGAAUUUGAUUGACGAAGAAGUCACCAUGAAAAUCACAGUGAACCAUUUGGAAAGCAAACUGCCAAAAAAUAAUAGUUAGUCAUGCUCUCAGGCUGGUAAUUGAAAGUUUUGUUCAAAUCGUACUUAAUAUUCAAUAAUUGUUUAACCAUACCACUGCUUAUCUUGGGAAUGCUGAUACUAUGGAGACAAUAAGAUAAGGUGGCUGCUGAAAAUCAGAUUUAGACACUACUUUGAUUA